rnacentral:rRNA from 1 species
UACAGAGACCUCAAGCGUUAUCCGGAAUUAUUGGGCGUAAAGCGUACCGACAGGUGGUUUACCAAGUCAGAUGUGAAAUCUCCGAGCUUAACUCGGAAUCUGUCAUUUGAAACUGGUAGACUAGAGGGGCAAAGAGGAAGCUGGAACGAACGGUGUAGUAGUGAAAUGCGUUGAUAUCGUUCGGAACACCAAUAGCGAAGGCGAGCUUCUGGGUGCCACCUGACACUGCUAGGACGAAAGCGUGGGGAGCGAAUGGG